rnacentral:rRNA from 1 species
AACGAACGCUGGCGGCAUGCCUAACACAUGCAAGUCGAACGAAGGCUUCGGCCUUAGUGGCGCACGGGUGAGUAACGCGUGGGAAACUGCCUAUUGGUGGGGAAUAACGACGGGAAACUGUCGCUAAUACCGCAUGAGCCCUUCGGGGGAAAGAUUUAUCGCCGAUAGAUGUGCCCGCGUCCGAUUAGCUAGUUGGUGAGGUAAUGGCUCACCAAGGCGACGAUCGGUAGCUGGUCUGAGAGGAUGAUCAGCCACACUGGGACUGAGACACGGCCCAGACUCCUACGGGAGGCAGCAGUGGGGAAUAUUGGUCAAUGGAUGCAAGUCUGAACCAGCCAUGCCGCGUGCAGGAAGAAGGCCUUCUGGGUUGUAAACUGCUUUUGCCAGGGGAUAAAAAGACCUUGCGAGGUUAAUUGAAGGUACCUGGUGAAUAAGCCACGGCUAACUACGUGC